rnacentral:rRNA from 1 species
CGGCCAGAGCUCAAAUUUGAAAUCGACGCCCCGCGGGCGUCGAGUUGUAAUUUGAAGAGGAUGCCUCGCGGAUGGCGCCGCCCUAAGUCCCCUGGAACGGGGCGUCAGAGAGGGUGAGAGUCCCGUAUGCGGGCGGACGCCGGACGCGUGUGAGGCUCCUUCGAC